rnacentral:rRNA from 1 species
CAGAACCUGGUUGAUCCUGCCAGUAGUCAUAUGCUUGUCUCAAAGAUUAAGCCAUGCAUGUCUUAGUGUAAAUAACUCUUAUGAAACUGCGAAUGGCUCAUUAAAUCAGUUAUAGUUUAUUUGAUGGUACCUUUACUCGGAUAACUCUUGGAAAUCUAGAGCUAAUACGUGCUUAAAGGGUGACUUCGGAAGCCU